UGACAGAUGGGUAUUAUUUGUUGCUGAUAUCAUUAUAUGAAUUAUUGAAGACAUAUAGAAUGGGUAACUGCCCAUGCACCCCUAAACGCACAAGAAAUGUAGAUGUGGUGAUGGAAGAAUCGGCUAGCAGCCGAGAGAAUUACCAAUUUGACCCGAUGUGUUCCUUCUAUGACCCGAACUUCAACGACCCGGAUGCGUGGGUUUUCAUAUUUAUAAGAGAUAUGAGCAUACGGUCGGUCGUUUCUGCAACUAGUGUGUCCACAAGUCCAGAUUAUAGAUAUGACAUAACUUCGAGUAUAACCAGCUGGCGAUGGAUGCCUUCAGAUACGAGCAGCUCAAGCUCAACGGAUUCCGACACGAGCUCGACUGAAACGUCAUCGUCGGAGCGGACCGUCAAUUCGUUUGUAAAAGGAUCUCUCGUACAAGCUGCAUCCAAUGCUGACACUAAUGUGGACACCCCUUUUCAUAGUGAAGAUAAUGAUGAAUACUCGGAAAACGUUAAAUAUUGCACUUGGGAUGCUUAUGAGAUUGUCCCAAAAUGUCACAAAGUUGAUGUUGAUGACAUUGCUGUUGACAAUAGCUGCGCCUGGUUUUCGUGUAAAACACACAGAGACGAGGUGCAAAUCGUUGAAAACCCGAAAUAUGUCCGCAGAAUCAAUAAAAAAAGUAAUACUAAAUGUAACAGCUCCAGUGGUUGAAUGUUAUCCUCACCUGCCCAACACAACAUGUGUUAAAAGCUACAAGACUAAAGAACUUGAGAGUGUUGCAGACGCGUUGUCGGAUGUUCGGGACACCAGUUUAUCUCCCUUUCGGAAUUCGUUUUGCUCCUCCACAUCUUCAUUCUCCUUGUGCUUCCCUGGUGAAAGUAAUUAUCGAGAAACACAGUUACCCGCCGUAAAAAGUAACACGACUGUCAAUUCGUUUGUAAAAGAAGCUCACGUAAAAGCAGAACUUCAAAGUGACACUCAAGAGGAACCCCGCUUUCAUAGUGGAGAUAAUGAUGAAAAUUCGGAAAAUGUUUAAAAUCGCAAGGGGGAUGUUGCUACAGAUUUUGAAAGUGAUCCUCAUGCGUUUAACGCAACAAGCGUUGAAAGCUGCCAGCGCCAAGUACUAGUAAUUGAGAGUGUUGCAGACGCGUUAACGGAUGUUCAUGUUAAAGAGGGCGAACGCAAACAGUCAAAAAUCGCAAAACUGUUUAGAAGAUUUUUAAGACGAAAAUAAUAAUAGGAAAGUAAAAAAGCAAAUUAUUUGUUUACAAAAAAUUUGUGAAGAAAAAAAAGAAGUCAAAAUAAAUAAAGCAGCUUCAAAAGAUUAAUAUUUUUAAGUUUUUGUGAUCGUUUUGCAACUUGAUUUUUAUUGAUUUUCCCUACUUUACUCGUUCAAAACUUUAAAAGAUAGUUGUGUACUGAAAAAACACACUACAGGAAUAACUUUUUACCAGUGGUUUUUAAAACACGGUUGUUUUCAAUAACAUGGAAAAUCAGAAAUACGGUAAAAGUGCGACUAGUACAUCGCAAAAGCUAGUGUAUGAUACUCUUGGACUAUUCACGUGGUUGAUCGGGAUUUCACGUUGGUGUGUGCUUACGAAAGCAAUCCCGGACCACCAAACCAAUAUACUUUAAGGCGGAAUUAUACAGAAGGAAACCGACAAACCGUGGGCUAGAUGCGCAGGACAUUCCUCCCCCUGGCCAAUCUCCCGACCCCGGCAAAGACACCUUCCCGUGCGCCGCCCGACCCCCAGGAAAAGUUACCUGGCAACUGAGCAGCUCAAAACAUAUUCGAGACACCCAAUCCCAUCCAAUGUGUAUAUAAGACGGGAAUAACAUAUGGAGAAGGAGAACCAGCCGCAUUAAAGCAUUUCUGGGCGUUGAUUUGCGAAUUACAUAGAAGUUUUCUGACGCCAGGAAGGAUUUCAAGUGGGCAAUUGUAAGCGCAGUUGAACACUCCAAAAAAAGAUAGAUUAAAUUGACUGGCAUACGGCACAAUAAUACAACAUUAUGGUUCGGUGGUCUGAAGAUGAGCAGAGGCAAAGUUCAACGUACAGAACGCUCAAAGCAAUUCGGAUGGGGAUAAUCGAGAAGUCGAUGCAUGGAGAGCAACGAUGCAUACAGCGGGAUGCUGAUGAGACAACGAUGAUGUUGGUGACAUCCGAAGACAUUGAACAGGUUUUUGAUGAUCGGACGACUGUGGAUCAGGCCUCGUUCACAAAAAAGCACGUGUUCCGAACACUUUUAAUACAUUGCAUCACUUAAUGGAACGUUGCUAGUCUUGAUGUUAGACAACUUAAACAAAACGCUUAAAGAAAUAGUGGUGGUUUAAAUUGUUGUGUUGUUUAAAUAAAAAGCAUACUUAAUAAACAUAAUAUUUU